UACGUAGGUGGCAAGCGUUGUCCGGAUUUACUGGGCGUAAAGGGCGUGCAGGCGGUUUGUUAAGUUCAGGGUGAAAGCUCCCGGCUCAACUGGGAGAGGUCCUUGGAUACUGGCAGACUUGAGGAGGGUAGGGGAGAGUGGAAUUCCCGGUGUAGUGGUGAUAUGCGUAGAUAUCGGGAGGAACACCAGUGGCGAAGGCGGCUCUCUGGGCCCUACCUGACGCUGAGACGCGAAAGCGUGGGGAGCGAACCGG
rnacentral:rRNA from 1 species